rnacentral:rRNA from 1 species
GACGAACGCUGGCGGCGUGCUCAACACAUGCAAGUCGAACGGAAAGGCCCUUCGGGGUACUCGAGUGGCGAACGGGUGAGUAACACGUGGGUGAUCUGCCCUGCACUUUGGGAUAAGCCUGGGAAACUGGGUCUAAUACCGAAUAGGACCACGCGCUUCAUGGUGUGUGGUGGAAAGCUUUUGCGGUGUGGGAUGGGCCCGCGGCCUAUCAGCUUGUUGGUGGGGUAAUGGCCUACCAAGGCGACGACGGGUAGCCGGCCUGAGAGGGUGACCGGCCACACUGGGACUGAGAUACGGCCCAGACUCCUACGGGAGGCAGCAGUGGGGAAUAUUGCACAAUGGGCGCAAGCCUGAUGCAGCGACGCCGCGUGAGGGAUGACGGCCUUCGGGUUGUAAACCUCUUUCAAUAGGGACGAAGCGCAAGUGACGGUACCUAUAGAAGAAGCACCGGCCAACUACGUG